CAUAAUUCUAGAACACUCCAUCUUCCUCUUUAGCACAAAAUAGAUGCAAUAUUUUCAACACAAGAAUCAGUUCUUCCAUUUCUCUUGCUCCAACUCCAACUCCAACAACAACGAAUUCCAGGAUAAUAAACAAGAAUUGCACUGGAACAAAGAUUCAAUUGAUCAAGAUGUCACCUACAACUUCACGAGUAAUGUCACAGUCGUGGAAAGGAAGGAGUGUUAUUGAGAAUCUUGAUUGAUAGCCACGCUGAAAAGAUCAUAAUGGAAUACAUGGGAUGUGUGAAAUAUCAUUGCUUAGAGAAUAUGUCCUAUACCAUUAAAAUUUGACUGUUUAUCUCAUGUAUGUUUGUACAACUAAUGAAUUGCAUCUGUGGAGUAUUUCUUGUUUCUGAAGUUGGUAGACUUCUAUGGAAUGUUCAAACUUGUCUGAUUUAACCUUGAAUUUGAUGUUGUUUUAUACUUAAAUUGUUGCUGAAAUGUAGCAACAAUUACACUACAUUAUUUCAAUGACACUCAAAAAAAUCUUGGAGGGAGAAAAUAAUGACGUUCACUAUGUUUUUUGUGUGUUUCGGUGAUUUAUAUUGCAUUUUCAUUUUAAUGUGUGAGGUAUUUAGACAUCAAAGUGAUUACAAUCUAUCAUUUUCCCCUCCAAUUCUUUUGGUUCCACAUUAUUCAAGAUUUAGAUUUCCCUCUUUCUACAUUAUGAUUUCAUUUUUGUUUAAUAUAUUAUAUACUAUAACUGAUGAGUCAGUUUUUUCGACUCAUUCAAGUGUGGAACU